rnacentral:rRNA from 1 species
UACGGAAGGCAGCAGUGGGGAAUAUUGCACAAUGGGCGAAAGCCUGAUGCAGCUAUGCCGCGUGUAUGAAGAAGGCCUUAGGGUUGUAAAGUACUUUCAUCGGGGAGGAAAAACAAAACUAAUAAUUUUAUUUCUUGACGUUACCCGAAAAAGAAGCACCGGCUAACUCCGUGCCAGCAGCCGCGGUAAUACGGAGGGUGCUAGCGUUAAUCAGAAUUACUGGGCGUAAAGAGCACGUAGGUGGUUUUUUUAAGUCAGAUGUGAAAUCCCUGGGCUUAACCUAGGAACUGCAUUUUGAAACUGAAAUACUAGAGUAUCGUAGAGGGAGGUAGAAUUCUAGGUGUAGCGGUGAAGUGCGUAGAUAUCUGGAGGAAUACCUGUGGCGAAAGCGGCCUCCUAAACGAAUACUGACACUGAGGUGCGAAAGCGUGGGGAGCAAACAGGGAUUAGAUACC